GCCCUGACGGGUGGUUGUACGCGACCACAAAGUGUUUCAAAAUGCUCUAUCCAGCAAUUUUAUACGUCCCAGCUCGUGACUUCUGCUCUUCUCUUUCCCUUGUCACCUUGGGUAAUGGGAAGACGACCGGUCCUUCCUUGAUUAACAUUGAGAGCAUCGAAGAGUUCGACAAAAUAAGACAUCUCUUGGACGGGAGUUACCUCUGGAAUCACUGCAAAAGAGAGAAUGGACAGUGGCAAUGCUACAGAAAUCGAAAUGGGGACUUAAGUUCCUACCGAAACUGGGGCACGAACCAGCCGGAAGAUGAUCCUCGCAAAAGUUGCGCUCUGAUUAACGUGCCUGAUGGGAAGAUGCGUAACGCCGCCUGUAAUCUGCUUGCAGCCGCUGUGUGUCAAGUCAUCAUAUAGGGGUCAGAGGGGCUAGAGCCCUAAGCCCGCCAGGCACUCAGCAGCCGUUGUGUGUCAAGUCAUCAUAUAGCGGUCAGAGGGGCUAGAGCCCUAAGCCCGCCAGGCACUAAUUUUUUUAUUUUUUUUUUAAAGCGACGCAGAACAAAUUCAAAAAACCCAUUGAAUACAUUAAAUAUACCCGUCAAAAUAAUGAACAGCUGGGAGGCCUUUGUCGAAAAUUGAUUUACCAGAGCGGCAGUUCCGUCCUAACUUUCAAAGCUGCUAAAAAUGGAAAAUGUGUCAUUUGGGCAGAGUUAGGACGAAACUACCUUCUUUAUAUAUCCCAAUAUUUUAUAUUAUCUAUUUUGAUGAAUCAGAAGACAAGAAUUAUUGUGAUGUAAUGUUAAUAAUGAUACAUCAUUAUCAUUAAUUUUCUACUGUGCCGUGUUCAUGGGGUAAAUGUCGGUAGUGGGAGAUAUAUUCCCCUUCAAAGGUGGGGGGUGGCAUGUACAAUCAACCCCCUCCCUAACCCAACUACAUGUAAACGAUCUUUUUUUAAGACAGAAAGGAUAAUUUUUUUAAUCAUCAAAUGAUAAAUAUUAUUUUUAAUGAGUAGAAUUAUCUUUACCUACAAUGUGCUUAAAUGACCUUUUUUCAGAUUGUGUAAGUACAGGGUUGGGCGAAGGGUUUUUUUUUUUGGGGGGGGGGUUAAUUCUCUGGUGGUUAUGCCGUUUACUAUCCAUCAUUUUACUAACCUCUCAAAAAAACUGUGAUAACGUAUCUUCAUGGCUGAGCGGGCACAUUUUGUGACGUAUCAUCAUAGGGGGUUUA